CUACGAAGGUCCCAAGCGUUAUUCGGAAUCACUGGGCGUAAAGAGUACGUAGGCGGUUUGGUAAGUCAGGUGUGAAAUCCCGGAGCUCAACUCCGGAACUGCAUCCGAUACUGCCAGACUUGAGUAAUGGAGAGGCAGGUGGAAUUCUCGGUGUAGCAGUGAAAUGCGUGGAUAUCGAGAGGAAGACCAAUGGCGAAGGCAGCCUGCUGGACAUUUACUGACGCUGAGGUACGAAGGCUAGGGGAGCGAAAGGGAUUAGAAACCCUAGUAGUCC
rnacentral:rRNA from 1 species